rnacentral:rRNA from 1 species
UACGUAGGUGGCAAGCGUUGUCCGGAAUUAUUGGGCGUAAAGCGCGCGCAGGCGGUCCUUUAAGUCUGAUGUGAAAGCCCACGGCUCAACCGUGGAGGGUCAUUGGAAACUGGGGGACUUGAGUGCAGGAGAGAAGAGUGGAAUUCCACGUGUAGCGGUGAAAUGCGUAGAUAUCUGGAGGAACACCGGUGGCGAAGGCGGCAUCCUGGACCAAUACUGACGCUGAGGAGCGAAAGCCAGGGGAGCAAACGGG